rnacentral:lncRNA from 1 species
AUAUCCAGAGACAAAAGUAAGAUUCUGUUGGGUUAAUAGAUCUAAAACUUCAUGGAGGAAUAACCUGAAAUAUAGUUAGAAGAAUGUUGCAGAUUCCUUUUGGGAUGAGGAUGAAUACAUGAGUGGGAGCACUAUAAAUAAGGUCGAAACCAAAGAGCAGAUCAUAGCACAUAUACCACCACCAUAUAUCUUUCUUCUUCGUAUAAUGGCGACCGCUCAUUUUCCGACUCGAGAAAUCGUGGAUCCAGUUCAGAACAAGAAUUUUCUUCAACGAGCUGACGCUAACAACGAUGGAGUAAUAAGCAAGGGCGAGAUCCGCAAAGUUCUCGAGGACAGACACUUCCAUUUUAAGAGCAUUAGGACUCACUUUGCGAUGAAAAAUGCUGACCUUAAUGGUAAUGGUGUCAUCGAUAGUGAGGAGGAAAAGCAGAAGUUUUUGGAGUAUGCUGAGAAGAAGCACUUUGCCUAAGCUGUUUACGUUCAGCCCGAUCGUCGCUAGGCUUCUUCGAAUGCUAAGUAUAUUGUCUACGACGUAAGACUCUCUAUCUCAUGCAAUAGCGUUAAAAGGAAGAAUCAUAUUCCUAUGUAUCAUUAGAUGUCGAAGUGUACGUUGUGCUUCUUAUACCAAAAAUAAUCCAAGGGCUGUUCUACCUUUUCUCAUGUGUCCUAUGGGGAAAUCUUUGUUGUGUCUCUCUAUUAGUAUUCAAAAUCACUUCUAACAUUGGAUUGGGUUGCUUCAAUUCAGGAACACCAAUCUUGAAUCCUGUAAUAUUGGAUUCCUUGAUUGGUUUUUUACUUUCUUUCGAAAAAGAAAGAAGUUCUACAAAAGUUCAAUCUAAAUAUGACGUAGAUGAUCGAUUGAGGAAGCAAAACCAAUAAAAUUAUGAUUCUAAUGGAUGGAUGGCAAUGCUUGAUAUUGUGUUCAUCAUCUAUCGAGAUGGUUAAGAGCCCUAAAUGAUGGGGAUAUAAAGCGAAAUAACCUUUGUAUAUAAACAAAUACUAGCAGGCUAUGAUAUGCAAUGGAAUUAAAUGAAAUCACAAUCAAAUAGAACACCAAGAUAUACAUGAAAAACCCCUCCAAUGUGAAGGGUAAAAACCACGGGGCAAACUAGAGAUAAUCCACUAUGAGAAUAAUGAAUAUACAAAUCUCAAUCUCUUGCCCUAAACACUAGCAACAAUCACAAGAGAACAACUGGGAUAUAAGGAUCACGUCGCUAUCCACAAUAUCUAAAACCUCCCCAAGUAAUCACAGUAAAAGUCUACUGUAAAUUUAAUUUAAUCUGAGAUGAGAACACUGCUAGAUAAUUGAGAACAGUCUCUCUGCGUUGUCCUUAUUUUCUUUCUUUUCUUUCUCUUGUUUUUCUGUCUUUUUCUUCUUCUCUUUGCUACUAACAGUCAUCUCCUUGCCAAAAUGCAACCACCACAUCCCCUUAUAUUGAUCUAGGGUUAGGUUAAGAGGGGGUAUGGGCUGUGGGUUGAUAAAGCCCAUAUGACCUGAAUAUGGGCUGUCAACCCAACACUAAAUUCCAUUUGGCGACAUGAUGGAGAAUCUUAAGGUGCAAAAAUCACAAUAAUAAUAAUUUGAUAUCUUAUUAAACUUCUUUUAUGUAGUUAUCUAAGUCCAAAACAAAGAAAAACCAUACUAACAAAAGUUAAUCAUCAAAGGAUUGUGUAAACAACUCGUAGGAAUAACUUUGCAUGUCGAAAAAGAUCAUAAAAUCCGAGAGGUGGUAUCGGAUCGAGGAAUCUUGAGGUACAAAUAUGCUGUGUUAUAUUCUUCAUGUGUGGUAUUAGAGAUUGUUGUUGACACACUGAAGUGUAAUGACAGAUUUUGAUAUAUAUAUAUAUAUAUAUAUAUAUAUAUAUAUAUAUAUAUAUAUAUAUAUUAUUGAAGAGUCAUUUUUGGCAUCAUGAUAAGAUUCUGAUGACAUGGGAAUUUGGACAAUAGAAUGACGUAAUAAUAUGCUUGAUAUAUAGUCAUGUGCAUGAAGGACUUCAUAUGGGUUAUAUUCCUUGUGAAUUAUCAAAUUGGCACUCAUAGAAUGAACAUGUUCAAAAAAAAAAAACAAAAAUGGAAAAAAUAGGACUUUAUAUUAAUCUUUAACCUCUUUAUUGUUAUUUGAUCUAAUAGGUCAUCAUGAUAAUAACUAUUAAGUAUUUGUACAUGUAUUUAUUGGUCAUCAAGCAACUAUAUACCAUUUGAUGGCCCAAUAAAAUUAUACUUGCCUUCACUGCUCUUUCAUCUUUUCUUCGAUCAGUAUAGUUUUAAUUCUUAUCCUUUUUAUUAUAAAGAAUAAAUGAUAAAGAGGAUAAUCAAAUUUAGGAUAUUACGAUAAUCUGUCAAAGUGUUUACAAAUUAAAUUAAAAUAAUCAGCAUUUUCAGAUUAUUCCUUGCUUUAGUGAAUUUAUUUCAUUAGCAUAUCGAGCGGCAUACCUAAAUUAGAAUUUUAAUUAGACAAUUUCGUAUGCAUAUGAAUACUAACUCUUCGACUUUUCAAUCUAUCACUUACCCUUUACCAAUAAUAAUAAUAACAAUAAUAAUAAUUGAAAGUCCGAGGUUUCCAAUAUACCGCAUUAAAUGAACAUAUAAGUAAUAUAAAUGAUAGACAUGAAUAAUCUGAAUCAUAAAGUAAAUAGAAAUGUAAUCAGUGUUGCAAGUAGAUAGCACAAAUACAGGAAAUGGUUCAGGGCAAUGCUAUUGUUGAGGAGGAGGGCAAUCGGCUCAGCUUCAUGGUUCUGGUCAUCAUUGCCAUGAAAUCAUCCAUGCCCACGAGCCCGUCGCCAUUCUUGUCCACUUCCUUCACCAUUCUCC